rfam:Cariama cristata contig85135, whole genome shotgun sequence.
AGACUGGUUCUUUUAGGAACCACUCACUGCAUCAAGAAAUUGUAUU